rnacentral:rRNA from 1 species
UGGGGAAUAUUGCACAAUGGGCGCAAGCCUGAUGCAGCCAUGCCGCGUGUGUGAAGAAGGCCUUCGGGUUGUAAAGCACUUUCAGCGAGGAGGAAGGUGGUGAGCUUAAUACGCUCAUCAAUUGACGUUACUCGCAGAAGAAGCACCGGCUAACUCCGUGCCAGCAGCCGCGGUAAUACGGAGGGUGCAAGCGUUAAUCGGAAUUACUGGGCGUAAAGUGCACGCAGGCGGUUUGUUAGGUCAGAUGUGAAAUCCCCGGGCUCAACCUGGGAACUGCAUUUGAAACUGGCAAGCUAGAGUCUCGUAGAGGGGGGUAGAAUUCCAGGUGUAGCGGUGAAAUGCGUAGAGAUCUGGAGGAAUACCGGUGGCGAAGGCGGCCCCCCUGGACGAAGACUGACGCUCAGGUGCGAAAGCGUGGGGCAGCAAACAGGAUUAGAUACCCUGGUAGUCCAGCGCUGUAAAACGAUGUCGACUUUGGAGGUUGUGCCCUUGAGGCGUGGCUUCCGGAGCUAACGNGUUAAAUCGACCGCCUGGGGAGUACGGCCGCAAGGUUAAAACUCAAAUGAAUUGAC